AACCAAAACACAAAACACACAAUAGCAGACAAAGAUCACAACACCUGCUA
rnacentral:misc_RNA from 1 species